rnacentral:rRNA from 1 species
UACGUAGGGAGCGAGCGUUGUCCGGAUUCAUUGGGCGUAAAGAGCUCGUAGGCGGCUUGGCAAGUCGGGUGUGAAAACUCCAGGCUCAACCUGGAGACGCCACCCGAUACUGCCAUGGCUAGAGUCCGGUAGGGGACCACGGAAUUCCUGGUGUAGCGGUGGAAUGCGCAGAUAUCAGGAGGAACACCAAUAGCGAAGGCAGCUCGCUGGGACGUUACUGACACUGGAGGCGCGAAAGCGUGGGGAGCGAACAGG